UACGUAGGGUGCAAGCGUUGUCCGGAAUUAUUGGGCGUAAAGAGCUCGUAGGCGGUUCGUCGCGUCGGCUGUGAAAUCCCGAGGCUCAACCUCGGGUCUGCAGUCGAUACGGGCGGACUGGAGUUCGGCAGGGGAGACUGGAAUUCCUGGUGUAGCGGUGAAAUGCGCAGAUAUCAGGAGGAACACCGGUGGCGAAGGCGGGUCUCUGGGCCGAUA
rnacentral:rRNA from 1 species